AUCUUUGGAGACAUCUAAUAAAAAUGGAACGAUACAGAGAAGAUUAGCAUGGCCCCUGCGCAAGAAUGACACACACAAAUCGAGAAUUUUCCAUCACUUCA
rnacentral:snRNA from 1 species